rnacentral:rRNA from 1 species
GAGACUCUGUGCGCGUGCAUAUCAAUAAGCGGAGGAAAAGAAACUAACAAGGAUUCCCUUAGUAACGGCGAGUGAAGCGGGAAGAGCUCAAAUUUGAAAUCUUCAAGGUUUUACCUUGACGAAUUGUAGUUUAAAGAAGUGUUUUCUGUUGAAGUUUUGGUAAAAGUUCUUUGGAAUAGGACAUCAUAGAGGGUGAGAAUCCCGUAUUUGACCAUUAUUUUCAGCUGUGUGAUACACUUUCAAAGAGUCGGAUUGUUUGGGAAUGCAGUCCAAAAUGGGUGGUAAAUUUCAUCUAAAGCUAAAUAUUGGCGAGAGACCGAUAGCGAACAAGUACCGUGAGGGAAAGAUGAAAAGAACUUUGAAAAGAGAGUUAAACAGUACGUGAAAUUGUCAAAGGGAAGCGUUUGACACCAGUGUUGUUUUCUCGAAAAUCAAUUAAAAAGAGUUGGAUUUUGUGUUGUAUCGACCUUAACAGCUUUCUUCACUCUUUUCCUGCUUUUUUUAAUGCACUUUUCGUUUAACAAGUCAACAUCAGUUUCUUUUGUUGUAAAAGGGUCAUUGGAAGGUGGCUUUCUCUUCGGAGAAAGUGUUUAUAGCCUUUGAUCUCUGCAAUCGGAGAGACUGAGGUCUGCAGCGUAGAUCCUUCGGGGUUAGAUACAUUUGUGCUAAGCUACAGCUUUUCAUAGACAACUUGUUGACUAUGUUUAGUCUUGUGACUAACCCGCUUAUGCUAUUUUACCUACGCUUAGGAUGUUGAAUCUGUGCGAGACUAC